AAAAAAACUCACGUGGUUCCUGUAUGAUCAUAACAAUAUAAUAUGUACAUUAGGUGUAUUUCUAUCUAAAAUUAUUAUAUAUACCCCCAAGAAAAGCUUAUAAAAUAUCAGUUAAUUUCCAGAGUAGUAACCCGUAGAGAAAGAUAGUGUUUAAGUUAUAUGCAAAGCUUCAAAGAGAACAUAUACAUACAUACAUACAUACAUACAUACAUACAUAUAUAUACUUAGGUGUAUUUCUAUCUAAAAUUAUUAUAUAUACCCCCCAAGAAAAGCUUAUAAAAUAUCAGUUAAUUUCCAGAGUAGUAACCAGUAGAGAAAGAUAGUGUUUAAGUUAUAUGCAAAGCUUCAAAGAGAAUGUAUACAUAAAUACAUACAUAUAUACACACAUAUAUAUACUUAGGUGUAUUUCUAUCUAAAAUAAUUACAUAUACCCCCAAGAAAAGCUUAUAAAAUAUCAGUUAAUUUCUAGAGUAGUAACCAGUAGAGAAAGAUAGUGUUUAAGUUAUAUGCAAAGCUUCAAAGAGAAUAUAUACAUACAUACAUACAUAUAUGUACAUUAGUUGUAUUUCUAUCUAAAAUUAUUAUAUAUACCCCCAAGAAAAGCUUAUAAAAUAUCAGUUAAUUUCCAGAGUAGUGCCAGUAGAGAAAGAUAGUGUUUAAGUUAUAUGCAAAGCUUCAAAGAGAAUAUAUACAUACAUACAUACAUACAUGCAUACAUAUAUAUACUUAUAUAUCUAGAUAUAUCUAGCUAUCAGAUUCGGCCAGCCAAAAAAAUUUUAGUCGGUUUGAUUAAUUGAAAGAUUUACUUAGAUUAGUGUUGAGAAUAAUCUUUUUGGUACCUUUUCAUACUUUGCCACCUUCUUC
rnacentral:lncRNA from 1 species